GUUCCUGUAGUUGAGUUACAACGGUGGUUUUUCAAGUCACUGGUCCUGGUUAGAGUCCUGGCGGGAAUU
rnacentral:tRNA from 1 species